GGAGGAAAACUGAAGGCUGAGUCAGGACUGACUGAAGUCCAGAAGAUGAGUGUUUGUGUGGAGGAAGAAGAGGACAGAGCAGAGUGUCCAGGAUCCAGCUGUCUGUCUAUGAAGAGUGACAGGUCCAGAGAGUUAAAUCCUCUAAAAUUCAGUAAUGAACCUGGACCCUCAGACACAAAGUAAGAGAACUGCUACAAACCUGUGAACCAAACUUUGGGCUAUAACAGUGUUUAGUGUGUUGAGGUCCUGCAGUUGUCGUCACUGCCUGUGUAACUGUUGUGUGACGCUGCUGUGCAGCCAGGAACAUAAGGAAGAGGACCCAAAUGCAGAAACCCCAGGACGGACAGAUGAGUGAAGUGAAGUCCUUUUAUUUAACUCAAACUCUCAGGAAAAAGUCCAGGGGCAGGAAGCAAAACUUCAACAAAUAAAAAACAUCCAAAAUGGAGAAAAGUCCUUACUUGUGACAGAAUAAAAUAACAGAGGAAAGUGAAAACAGGAGGCAAAUCCAGGACAGUGCACAGGCAGGGAAACAGAUAAGACAACUAA